GAACAGACCUGCUGCUGCUAGAAGCCAAGCUGGAGUCUGGUCUCUUUGGGCCAGGGAUUUGCAGGAGUUGUUAGGCGCAGUUCUCACCAGUUCUUGGCACCACGAUUUACAAGCCACAUGGAAUACGGAGGAUGGGAACCAGGAUGGUCGAAUCAUACAAGAACCUUGCGAGAACUGAGUGUAGCCUACAAAGGGUACAGCCGAGGGAGUAGACGCUUCUUCGGGUAUAGUUAAGAUGGUUGUGAAGGACCAGGGAUUCGCUCCAACCGUGCAGAGGCCAAUAACCCGAUAUGGAGCAUGCGUUUACCCCGUUGGAACCCCUGCUUCCCACUGGGAAUUUGAAAUACUGCCUUGUGAUCCUGAAUCAGCCUUUGGAUAAAUAUUUUCGUCAUCUUUGGAGCAAAGCUUUUUGCCUGAAUUCAUCAAUGGAGACUUUGAUUCAAUAAGGCCUGAUGUUAGAGAAUACUAUGCUACUAAGGGCUGUGAGCUUAUUUCCACUCCUGAUCAAGACCACACCGACUUUACNAUAA